AAACCAAGGAAAAACGAUUCCCUUCAAAGGGAUGGAAAACACCUAAUUUUCACUGGUACUUCAGUUGAAUACCACAAAUAAAAUGUUGAAACCUGGCUU